CCGCUCGGAGACGCUGAGAUCAUCUCCCACGCCAUAGCCGGCCUCGACAUCGACUACAAUCCCGUGAUCUCAGCUCUGGCUGCGCGGGGUUGAACCUGUUACGGUUCAGGAGCUGUACAGCCAGCUUCUGAGCUUCGACG
rnacentral:snoRNA from 1 species